rfam:Triticum aestivum genome assembly, contig: Triticum_aestivum_CS42_TGACv1_scaffold_094581_2AL
AUAAUACUUCCUCCGUCCGAAAAUACUUGUCAUCAAAAUGGAUACAAGGGGAUGUAUCUAGAUGUAUUUUAAUUUUAGAUAUAUCUUUUUUUAUUCAUUUUGAUGACAAAUAUUUUCGGACGGAGAGAGUAUAUC